rnacentral:rRNA from 1 species
UAACACCAUCUAGAUGCCUAAAUGGUGCCACAUUCGGUAUUAGCGGCCGUUUCCAACCGUUAUUCCCAAGUUAAAGACAAAUUAUCUAUGCAUUACUAACCCUUCCGCCACUAAACAGUUAAAAACUGUUCCGUUCGACUUGCAUGCCUCAUCCAC